AUUGACGUGAGAAGGUAGGUGAAGGGAACGAAGUGGAAUGAAAGAAAAGGAAAGAGAAACACGCACUUCUCUCUCGUUCCGUUUGUUUUCUCUUUUCCUUUUGUUCAUU
rnacentral:ribozyme from 1 species